rnacentral:tRNA from 1 species
GAUGCCGUGGACUGAAUGGUUUAGGCGCGAGACUGCAAAUCUCGAUCAUGCGGGUUCGAGCCCCGUCGGCAUCUCCA